rnacentral:misc_RNA from 1 species
UUAAGUUCAGCGGGUAUUCCUACCUGAUCCGAGGUCAACCUUGUUAAAAAUUCUCCCUGAGGGGAGGCAGACCGUGCCCCGCGAGCCCUUAUCCAGUACGUGCUCGGUGAAGAACUCAGUGUACCGGGGGUCCAACGAGGCCGCCGUCAUUGUCUUUGGGAGGGGUGAGACAUAGGCCCCACGACCGUCCAACACCAAGC